UACAGAGGGUGCGAACGUUGUUCGGAUUUACUGGGCGUAAAGCGCGUGUAGGCGGUCUCGCAAGUCGGGUGUGAAAGCCCAGGGCUCAACCCUGGAAGUGCAUUCGAUACUGCGAGGCUAGAGUCCCGGAGAGGAUGGUGGAACUCUCGGUGUAGAGGUGAAAUUCGUAGAUAUCGAGAAGAACACCGGUGGCGAAGGCGGCCAUCUGGACGGUGACUGACGCUGAGACGCGAAAGCGUGGGGAGCAAACAGG
rnacentral:rRNA from 1 species